rnacentral:rRNA from 1 species
UACGUAGGGUGCGAGCGUUAAUCGGAAUUACUGGGCGUAAAGUGUGCGCAGGCGGCGCCGCAAGUCGAGUGUGAAAGCCCCGAGCUUAACUUGGGAAUUGCGCUCGAAACUAUGGUGCUGGAGUGUGGCAGAGGAAGGUGGAAUUCCACGUGUAGCGGUGAAAUGCGUAGAGAUGUGGAGGAACACCGAUGGCGAAGGCAGCCUUCUGGGCCAACACUGACGCUCAUGCACGAAAGCGUGGGAGCAAACAGG